rnacentral:misc_RNA from 1 species
GAUGAAGAACGCAGCGAAAUGCGAUAAGUAAUGUGAAUUGCAGAAUUCAGUGAAUCAUCGAAUCUUUGAACGCACAUUGCGCCCCCUGGUAUUCCGGGGGGCAUGCCUGUUCGAGCGUCAUUUCACCACUCAAGCCUCGCUUGGUAUUGGGCAACGCGGUCCGCCGCGUGCCUCAAAUCGACCGGCUGGGUCUUCUGUCCCCUAAGCGUUGUGGAAACUUUCGCUAAAGGGUGUUCGGGAGGCUACGCCGUAAAACAACCCCAUUUCUAAGGUUGACCUCGGAUCAGGUAGGGAUACCCGCUGAACUUAAGCAUAUCAAUAAGCAGAGGA